rnacentral:lncRNA from 1 species
UGACACCAUAUUGUUCCAUAUCUGAGUUAAAUUUAGGCCUGAUUGACUAUCUGCUUUCAAAUUUAUGAACUUUGGUGCUUCACGGUUUGAAAGACUACUCUUGAAACCGAAACCAUUUUUUUGGCCAGAUAUUGUCUCUGCAUCACCACCAUCUGUUUUGGACCAUGUUUUUUCUUACCCUAAAUCCAUCAGCUUUGUUCCAGUUCUUCCAGCCCUUGAGACCAAAUUACUAUAAAUGCCAGAACCACAUUGAUUGCCUCCAAAUCAUCCAUCAAUGCUCUUCUC